CCAUAUUGGGAAAGAAAAUCAACACUUGAUCCCCAGAUGCUGAAAACACAUGACCAAUUACAACCAACAAUACAGCACUAGGAACAGAAGGAAGGGAGACAGCGUCAGGAGGCCUAAGACACUUAUGGACAUUUGUCAGACUUGCUGUAAAGGAAAGUAGAUGAGAACCAAAGAUUUGCCUUGGUUUAAUAAUUAACCAUAGAAGACUGCACUUUUCUUUUAAUGAGCAAAUAGUAAAGGAAAAGAUUGAAAAAUUCCCUCUCUAUCUCCUUGGUGUCAAAAUAUCUUCUUGUACUGUACUCACCCUUGCUCUUCUCGUGAUGAUGUGAGAUGAUAAAAAUGCCUGUUUGAUGAGAUGAAGUGAGGUGCACGACCUAGGCAAUGUGACGUAGUGUUAGCAACUAUUGACCUUCUGAUGUCAAGUCAGGAGGAUUCUCUGCUUCUGGAUGACAGUGAACCUGAGAUCAUGGAACAUGAGUUUAGAAAGAAGUGGAGGCAGGAGGGCCUAUCAUUUGCAAAUGGCACAGAAGAGCAAAAUCAAAUCCUGGAAGAGAGCAAAAAUGAGAUGAAUUUACUCAAGAUCAUCUCCCUGGAGACUGCCAGCUCGAUUAGAGCUAAAUUGCUAUUGAUGACUUCAAAGAAUCAGAUCAUGUAAUUUGACAUAUAAGGAUAUAUGGCACAAAUAAUCAAAUAUUUAAAUAAUGAAAACACCAAAUGAAUUAAAUAUUCCUGUUAUAUAGAA